rnacentral:rRNA from 1 species
UAGGGUAGCAAAAGGGAUUAGAUACCCCUGUAGUCCUAGCCGUAAACGAUGGAUACUAGAUGUUGUGUUUUAUAUACAGUAUCGUAGCUAACGCGUUAAGUAUCCCGCCUGGGGAGUACGCUCGCAAGGGUGAAACUCAAAGGAAUUGACGGGGGCCCGCACAAGCGGUGGAGCAUGUGGUUUAAUUCGAUGCAACGCGAAGAACCUUACCAGGGCUUGACAUACUACAGAUUCUUUAGAGAUAGAGAAGUGCCUUCGGGAAUGUAGAUACAGGUGGUGCAUGGCUGUCGUCAGCUCGUGUCGUGAGAUGUUGGGUUAAGUCCCGCAACGAGCGCAACCCUUAUUUUUAGUUACCAAUUCGUUGGGUUCUCUAGAAAGACUGCCGGUGACAAACCGGAGGAAGGUGAGGAUGACGUCAAGUCAGCAUGCCCCUUAUGUCCUGGGCUACACACGUGCUACAAUGGCUAAGACAAAGAGUUGCGAGCUCGCGAGAGUAAGCUAAUCUCAUAAACUUAGCCUAAGUUCAGAUUGUAGGCUGCAACUCGCCUACAUGAAGUUGGAAUCGCUAGUAAUCGCUGGUCAGCCAUACAGCGGUGAAUCCGUUCCCGGGCCUUGUACACACCGCCCGUCACACCAUGGGAGCUGGUCAUACCCGAAACCGUUUGCUUAACCAUUCGGAGAGCGACGUCUAAGGUAGGGCUAGUGACUGGGGUGAAGUCGUAACAAGGUAGCCGUACUGGAAGGUGCGGCUG